GCGACCCCCGACCCUGCGACCUCUGACUCGAUCACCCGUGACCCCGUAAUACCCCACCCUGCGAGCCCCGACCCCAAGACCCUUGACCUCUCUAACCGUGAACCACUCGUGACUCCGAGUCUCCCGACCCCGCCACCCACGAUGCCGCAACACCCCACCACUCGACCUCUGACCCUGCCCACGCGCUGUCCCUUGGCGCCCCCGCCUGCGCCCGACCAGCACGAGGCCGGAGGAGGACGACGACGACAACAGGACCUAGAGAGGUGCAAAAGCAACACAGGUGAACACUAUAUUUCAAGUUCCUUCUAAAAUGACAGGAUGAUUAGAUUAUAACUCCUGUGUGAAGAAAUCAGUGGAGGAAGCACCAGAAAUAUAUGGAUAUAUUGUGGAGGAAGUGUACAUUUACUUUACAGUGAUGUCAGUAUCAUGCUUUGUGUUGUACACAUUUAUGGGAUAUUUUAGGAUUCAGUGACUUAUGAUGAUGUGCAUGUGAACUUCACUAAAGAAGAGUGGGAUUUGCUGGAUCCUUCCCAGAUGAAUCUCUACAAAGACGUGAUGCUGGAGACCUACUGGAACCUCAUUGCUAUAGGCUACAAUUGGGAAGAUCAUCAUAUUGAAGAACAAUGUCAAAGUUCUAAAAGUCAUGAAAGGAAUGUAAGAAGUCAUAGUGGAGAGAAACCCUAUGAAUGUAAUAAGUGUGGUAAAGCCUUUGCAAGACCCAUUUAUCUCCAAAAUCAUAAAAGAACACAUACUGGAGAGAAAGCUUAUGAAUGUAAUCAAUGUGAUGAAGCCUUUGCAAGACCCAGUCAACUCCAAAGACAUAAAAGAAUGCAUACUGCGGAGAAACCCUAUGACUGUAAUCAGUGUGGUAAAGCCUUUGCAAGACCCAGUCAUCUCCAAUAUCAUAAAAGCACACAUACUGGAGAUAAA
rnacentral:lncRNA from 1 species